rnacentral:piRNA from 7 species
CGGCUGUUAACCGAAAGGUUGGUGG